GACGAACGCUGGCGGCGUGCUUAACACAUGCAAGUCGAACGGAAAGGCCCUGCUGUUGUGGGGUGCUCGAGUGGCGAACGGGUGAGUAACACGUGGGUAACCUGCCCUUGACUUUGGGAUAACUUCAGGAAACUGGGGCUAAUACCGGAUAGGAGCUCCUGCUGCAUGGUGGGGGUUGGAAAGUUUCGGCGGUUGGGGAUGGACUCGCGGCUUAUCAGCUUGUUGGUGGGGUAGUGGCUUACCAAGGCGUUGACGGGUAGCCGGCCUGAGAGGGUGACCGGCCACAUUGGGACUGAGAUACGGCCCAGACUCCUACGGGAGGCAGCAGUGGGGAAUAUUGCACAAUGGGCGGAAGCCUGAUGCAGCAACGCCGCGUGCGGGAUGACGGCCUUCGGGUUGUAAACCGCUUUCGCCUGUGACGAAGCGUGAGUGACGGUAAUGAGUAAAGAAGCACCGGCUAACUACGUG
rnacentral:rRNA from 1 species